UACGUAGGGGCCUAGCGUUGUCCGGAUUUAUUGGGCGUAAAGAGCUCGUAGGCGGUUCGGCAAGUCAGCUGUGAAAUCUCCACGCUUAACGUGGAGGGGUCAGCUGAUACUGCCGUGACUCGAGUCCGGUAGGGGAGUGUGGAAUUCCCGGUGUAGCGGUGAAAUGCGCAGAUAUCGGGAAGAACACCCGUGGCGAAGGCGGCUCUCUGGGACGGUACUGACGCUGAGACGCGAAAGCGUGGGGAGCGAACAGG
rnacentral:rRNA from 1 species